rnacentral:lncRNA from 1 species
AAUAGACUUUGGAAGGACACAAGUGCUGACUACAAAUAUCCACGUAAGCUGUAACCCUACUGCCGAUGCCUGGCGGCUGCAGGCUCAAAGGCCAAUGUGGAACUGAGCAGCCUAGGAAGUAGGAAAAGUAGGAGAUCAGAGACUCAAGAAUUGAAAGGAGCCCCAGAGACGUAAAAUUCAAACUUCUCAUCUCAGAGGAGCCCAGGCUAGCAAGCUUUGCCUGUUCUGGACAUUUCACAUAAACAGAAUCACACAGUGUGGGCUCUUGUGACUGCCUUCUCUCAGGUGACACAGUGCUUUCAGUGUCUCUUCAUGCUCUAACAUGUAUUGGUGCUUCAUUCUUUUUAUUGCUGAAUAAUAUUCCAUUACAUGGAUGGCCACAUUUUGUUUUCCCAUUUGUUAGAUGGGAAGGAACACCUUAGAAAAACAAAGGGAGACAGAUGGGGUGCAGAGAGAAUAUGAAUGGAGGAAAAAGGAAAAGGAAAAAAGAGAAAUAGAGAAAGUAGGAGGGAAAGAGCCACGUUGCUGGACCACCUCAGAAUUGCUUCAAUGGGACUUUGCUUCUGAAAGAUUUGUAUCCUCUGGGGAUGUCUUGGUUUUGCAUUGGUAGAUGCUGAAAUAUGGUUUUAAGUUUGGCUUCACCAGGCUAUGUGUGCUAUGUUUGUGGAAUCCAUGAAGUACUGAAAAGAAGAUUCAAAAUAGCUCUCAGAAAUACUUGUUUUAAACCUCCUCCUUUCUCUUCUUCCCCUCCCAAUCUCACAAGUCCAGUCCAAACAGGUUGAUAAGACUCAUCUUGUGACACUGACCAGACUGUUCUUUGUCUUCAACAGUGUUGAGGCUGAAAAGUGUGUGUGUAUGUUCAGGGAUAAAAGUGGGUAUAUGGUUCACAUAGAAGAUCCACUCUCGGUGUGGUUGAGAGGCUAUAUUCCCACUGAGAGUCUUCCCAGAUCUCAGAGAAAAUUAGAGAAAAUAAAUAAAUCAGGAAGAAAGACAACAACACAAAAUAAAACACAAAAAACCACAGCUACCAGAUGCUGGUCCUAAACAAAAUCUCAUAGCAGGAAAGAAGGAUUCCCAAAGUGGCAACAAAUUUAUAAGGAUAAGUGUGUGAUGUUAAAAAAGUUUCCUGUUUAAAUUCUGUUUAUUCCAGUUGUGAAGGGGAAAUUCCAGCACUUUGAGAACUGUUGUCUGUUUUCAGAAUAAGCCUAAAUGCAGAGUUCAAAAGCAAUAAAAUUACCAAUAGUAACUACUUCAUGUCUGAUUCCUCCCAUGUCAAUUUUAUAUCCACUUUUUAGAAGGCUUAGCAUAUAGAAGCCCAAUAUCAUUGCAGUUAGGGCACAGAUUUUUGAUGUAGAUAAAUUUGGGUUCAAAAC